AGCUCCGUGCUUGGUGUUGUGUCAGUAUCUGUGUUAGAGCCUGCUCAGCUCUGUGCUUGGUGCUGUGUCAGUAUCUGUGUUAGAGCCUGCUCAGCUCUGUGCUUGGUGCUGUGUCAGUAUCUGUGUUAGAGCCUGCUCAGCUCCGUGCUUGGUGUUGUGUCAGCAUCUGUGUUAGAGUCUACUCAGCUCUGUGCUUGGGGUUGUGUCAGUAUCUGUGUUAGAGCCUCCUCAGCUCUGUGCUUGGGGUUGUGUCAGUAUCUGUGUUAGAGCCCCCUCAGCUCUGUGCUUGGUGCUGUACCUUGGUUGAAGGCCUGGAGCCAAUCAAAUGGGAGUCUGACUCCCUCCAGAGUGAAACACACACCCCGAUUAGACAAUGACACCCCAAUAAGCUGCCUCACAGGGACAUAACGCAAUGAGAAGCCGACAGACACUUGAGCAUUACCCCAGUUUAUUCUGUGUUUACCCCGGAAAGGACAGAGAAAGGGAUGUCCUGAAUUAAACCGGCCGACAACGACAAUGAGUAGUAAAUCAGCACCCCUACUGUGUGAACACUGGAUCUCCAAUCGAACACACUGAUCCGAACCCCCACCCCCCACCCGCCACGAGUGGGCAUCCUCGCCGAGGAGAAGCCCUCUGAAACCACAUCAGUGGUGUUACCCUGGCAAGACAGAGCUGGGUGAGGUCCUCCAGUCAGGACAGGAAGCGCUUCUUUACACAGAGGGUGGUAGGAGAGUGGAACAGCCUGCCCAGUCACGUGACACCCUGGUUUCUCUCAGCUGGACUGAGCUGAGCUGAGCUGAGCCGGGCCGAGCCAAGCUAAGCCAAGCUGAGUCCUCUGCCUCUCCAGCGGCACCGACUGGCAGCCUGUCCUGGGCCGGGCGCUGCAGUGUCC
rnacentral:lncRNA from 1 species